AAGCCGUGGUGUGGGACAUUGGUUAGUAUAGCUCCUAAACCGUUCCCAAGCCUCACUAAAGCUCUCGUUGUUGUGCUGCGUGAAACUUGAGAUCUGAUUCCUGAGCUU
rfam:Eutrema salsugineum unplaced genomic scaffold scaffold_28, whole genome shotgun sequence.